rnacentral:rRNA from 1 species
CCUACGGGAGGCCGCAGUGAGGAAUAUUGGUCAAUGGGCGAGAGCCUGAACCAGCCAAGUCGCGUGAAGGAUGACGGCCCUACGGGUUGUAAACUUCUUUUGUCAGGGAGCAAUUGAGUCCACGUGUGGGCUUAGCGAUAGUACCUGAAGAAAAAGCAUCGGCUAACUCCGUUCCAGCAGCCGCGGUAAUACGGAGGAUGCGAGCGUUAUCCGGAUUUAUUGGGUUUAAAGGGUGCGUAGGCGGAAUAUCAAGUCAGCGGUAAAAAUUCGGGGCUCAACCCCGUCGUGCCGUUGAAACUGAUGUUCUGGAGUGGGCGAGAAGUAGGCGGAAUGCGUGGUGUAGCGGUGAAAUGCAGAGAUAUCACGCAGAACUCCGAUUGCGAAGGCAGCAUACCGGCGCCCAACUGACGCUGAAGCACGAAAGCGUGGGUAUCGAACAGGAUUAGAUACCCUUGUAGUC